ACGGGAGGCAGCAGUGAGGAAUAUUGGUCAAUGGUCGGAAGACUGAACCAGCCAAGUCGCGUGCAGGAAGACGGUCCUAUGGAUUGUAAACUGCUUUUGUACGGGAAUAAAGUGGGGGACGUGUCCCCUUUGGAAUGUACCGUAAGAAUAAGGGUCGGCUAACUCCGUGCCAGCAGCCGCGGUAAUACGGAGGACCCGAGCGUUAUCCGGAUUUAUUGGGUUUAAAGGGUGCGCAGGCGGGCUGUUAAGUCAGCGGUGAAAUCUCCGGGCUCAACUCGGAAACUGCCGUUGAUACUGGCGGCCUUGAGUCAUGUCGAGGAUGGCGGAAUGCAGCGUGUAGCGGUGAAAUGCUUAGAUAUGCUGCAGAACUCCGAUUGCGAAGGCAGCUGUCCAGAGAUGUACUGACGCUGAGGCACGAAAGCAUGGGUAUCAAACAGGAUUAGAUACCCUGGUA
rnacentral:rRNA from 1 species